GUUGAAGACCCAGGACUGAAGGGGUCGUGCAGAGAAGCUGAGGAUUGACACCAUGAAGAGAGAGCCUGUGAGAGGUUGGCUGUUGGUGAAAGUGUAUCCCGGUCACAGCAAGGGACCCUAGCAUUUUGGAGAUGCCAGCACCACGGGACGGGACGACCACCAGGAAGAGCAGCAGAGUGGAGCCAGCCAGGGCCUAGAAGACGAGCUGUGUGUGCUGCAGAGAGCGGAGCUGGAGAAGUAAGCCAAGCCCUUUGGAGGAGCCCGGAAGAUGAGUGUAUCUUCAGGACAGAUUUCAGGAAAUGGAAGUCACUAUAUUAAAAAGUUCAAACAUUCAGGAACCCUAAAGAGCUGCUGGAGGUAGAGGAGAGAGGAGAGGAGACAGCGGCUCCUCCUUGACUGCUGUAAGGAAUCAGGAUGGUGAAUCUCACUCGGCCUGCAAAGGGAAUUCUGUCAGUUAUCAGUCACCUCCGCUGGUGGUGUCAAACAUUAUGUCACAUAAAAGCCUAGAGGACUAUUAUCUGGCUUCAUGCUGGAGCAAAGGGAACUAAGGCUGGGGUCCUCCCAUUGAGCCCCCUUGUUCCCCUCCUGUAGAUGACCGGCUCCCUCUCCUCAGCCAGUCUGAGUU